rnacentral:tRNA from 1 species
AAAGAAUUAGUUAAAAUAUAACAUAAAUAUGUCAAAUUUAAAUUAUUAAGCCCAUUAAUAUUCUUUU